UACGUAGGGGGCAAGCGUUGUCCGGAUUUAUUGGGCGUAAAGAGCGUGUAGGCGGCCAGGUAGGUCAGCUGUGAAAACUCGAGGCUCAACCUCGAGACGCCGGUUGAAACCAUCUGGCUAGAGUCCGGAAGAGGAGAGUGGAAUCCCUGGUGUAGCGGUGAAAUGCGCAGAUAUCAGGAAGAACACCCGUGGCUAAGGCGGCUCUCUAGUACGGUACUGACGCUGAGACGCGAAAGCGUGGGGAGCGAACAGG
rnacentral:rRNA from 1 species